rnacentral:rRNA from 1 species
GAUGAACGCUGGCGGCGUGCCUAAUACAUGCAAGUCGAGCGAAUGGAUUAAGAGCUUGCUCUUAUGAAGUUAGCGGCGGACGGGUGAGUAACACGUGGGUAACCUGCCCAUAAGACUGGGAUAACUCCGGGAAACCGGGGCUAAUACCGGAUAACAUUUUGAACCGCAUGGUUCGAAAUUGAAAGGCGGCUUCGGCUGUCACUGAUGGAUGGACCCGCGUCGCAUUAGCAAGUUGGUGAGGUAACGGCUCACCAAGGCAACGAUGCGUAGCCGACCUGAGAGGGUGAUCGGCCACACUGGGACUGAGACACGGCCCAGACUCCUACGGGAGGCAGCAGUAGGGAAUCUUCCGCAAUGGACGAAAGUCUGACGGAGCAACGCCGCGUGAGUGAUGAAGGCUUUCGGGUCGUAAAACUCUGUUGUUAGGGAGGAACAAGUGCUAGUUGAAUAAGCUGGCACCUUGACGGUACCUAACCAGAAAGCCACGGCUAACUACGUGCCAGCAGCCGCCGUAA